rnacentral:rRNA from 1 species
UACGUAGGGUGCGAGCGUUGUCCGGAAUUAUUGGGCGUAAAGAGCUCGUAGGCGGUGUGUCGCGUCGGCCGUGAAAACCUGGGGCUCAACCCCGGGCCUGCAGCCGAUACGGGCGGACUAGAAUUCGGUAGGGGAGACUGGAAUUCCUGGUGUAGCGGUGAAAUGCGCAGAUAUCAGGAGGAACACCGGUGGCGAAGGCGGGUCUCUGGGCCGAUAUUGACGCUGAGGAGCGAAAGCGUGGGGAGCGAACAGG